rnacentral:rRNA from 1 species
UACGGGGGGGGCAAGCGUUGUUCGGAAUUACUGGGCGUAAAGGGUGCGUAGGCGGUUUUCUAAGUCGGGUGUGAAAUCCUGCGGCUUAACCGCAGGGCUGCCUUCUAAACUGACAGGCUAGAGCACAGUAGAGGCAGGUGGAAUUCCUGGUGUAGCGGUGAAAUGCGCAGAUAUCAGGAGGAACACCAAUGGCGAAGGCAGCUCGCUGGGACGUGACUGACGCUGAGACGCGAAAGCGUGGGGAGCAAACAGG